AGGGACCGGCGCACGGGUGAGUAACGCGUAUCCAACCUUCCCGCAAGUAAGGGAUAACCCGUAGAAAUGCGGCCUAAUACCUUAUGCUUGCGGAUGGGGAUGCGUCGGAUUAGUUAGUCGGCGGGGUAACGGCCCACCGAGACGACGAUCAGUAGGGGUUCUGAGAGGAAAGUCCCCCACAUUGGAACUGAGACACGGUCCAAACUCCUACGGGAGGCAGCAGUGAGGAAUAUUGGUCAAUGGGCGGAAGCCUGAACCAGCCAAGUAGCGUGCAGGAUGACGGCCUAUGGGUUGUAAACUGCUUUUAUGCGGGGAUAGGUACCGCAUGAAUAAGGACCGGCUAAUUCCGUGCCAGCAGCCGCGGUAAUACGGAAGGUCCGGGCGUUAUCCGGAUUUAUUGGGUUUAAAGGGAGCGCAGGCCGCCGGGCAAGCGUGUUGUGAAAUGCAGUCGCUCAACGUCUGCACUGCAGCGCGAACUGCCCAGCUUGAGUGCGCGCAACGUUGGCGGAAUUCGCCGUGUAGCGGUGAAAUGCUUAGAUAUGGCGAAGAACUCCGAUUGCAAAGGCAGCUGACGGGUGCGUAACUGACGCUCAUGCUCGAAAGUGCGG
rnacentral:rRNA from 1 species